rnacentral:rRNA from 1 species
CCUACGGGAGGCAGCAGUGAGGAAUAUUGGUCAAUGGGCGCGAGCCUGAACCAGCCAAGUCGCGUGAGGGAAGACGGCCCUACGGGUUGUAAACCUCUUUUGCCGGGGAGCAACGGGCGCCACGUGUGGCGCCACUGAGAGUACCCGGAGCAAAAGCAUCGGCUAACUCCGUGCCAGCAGCCGCGGUCAUACGGAGGAUGCGAGCGUUAUCCGGAUGUAUUGGGUUUAAAGGGUGCGUAGGCGGAGCGUUAAGUCAGUGGUCAAAUUGAGGGGCUCAACCCCUUCCCGCCAUUGAAACUGGCAGUCUUGAGUACAGUAGAGGUGGGCGGAAUGCGUGGUGUAGCGGUGAAAUGCUUAGAUAUCACGAAGAACUCCGAUUGCGAAGGCAGUUCACUGGACUGCAACUGACACUGAGGCUCGAAAGUGUGGGUAUCAAACAGGAUUAGAUACCCCAGUAGUC